AUGCAAGAUCUUUCGUGAAUAUCUAGUUAUUUUAAUAAUAAUUAGUUUUUAUUUUAGUCGCAGUAAUUGUUAUUAAUAAUUAAGGAAACUUCGAAUUAGAAAUACUAUGAAGUAUUGGUAAAAUUUGUGCCAGCAACCGCGAUUAUACUAAUAAUACAAGUAAUUUUUUUAGCAAAUAAAAUAAAAAAUAAAAUAUAAAAAAAAAAAAAUAAAAAUAAAUAAAAAAUAAUAAAAGGAUAGAUACCCUAUAUAAAUAAAGGAUUAGAUACCCUAUUAUUUAAAACGUAAAAUUUAUAAUAGAGUAGUAAUAGUUAUGAACUUGAAACUUAAAAAAUUUGGCGGUAUUUUAGUCUAUUCAGAGGAACCUGUUCUGUAAUCGAUAAUCCACGAUGGACCUCACUUAAAUUUGUUAUCAGUUUAUAUACCGUCGUUAUCAGGGAAUUUUAGAAGAAUUCCAAUUCCCAAAAAUUUUGAAUAAAAUUUAUAUCAGAUCAAGGUGUAGCUUAUAUUUAAGAAGAAAUGGGUUACAAUAAAUUUAUUUAUAUGGAUUUCUUUUUGAAACAAGAAUGAAAGUGGAUUUGAUAGUAAAAUUUUAAAGAUAAAAAAUUUGAUUAUAGCUCUAAAAUAUGCACACAUCGCCCGUCACUCUUAUUAAUAAGGUAAGAUAAGUCGUAACACAGUAGAUGUA
rnacentral:rRNA from 1 species